CCUAAGGCAGGCAAGGGCAAGGAAAGCAAUAUGUGAACCGGAGAAAGUUCUACCAUGGAUGACCAGAGAACCCCGUUGACCCCCUGCUCCCGAAUACAAUCCCGAUGAUUUGGAGGGGCACAUGGAUGCGGAAAAGCCCGAGGACCUCGACGAUUUCGAGGAUAGCAACUACAUCCCUCUUUUCAAAGAGGAAGAUAGUCUCGGAGACAAGGAUUUCAUCGUCCCCGAAGACCCGCUGGACCAAGAACGAUUCAAGCGGCAACUUAUAGCCAAUGCUCGCAGCCUCACGACAAAACAGUAACAAAUCAAAGCCGAACAAGAUACCAUCAACGAAAGAUGGACUCAAGUCCUAGCCGUCGAAGAAGGGUACGACAGGGAUAAAAGAAAAGUUACCCGCAUUGUCGGUUAUUGCCAGAGUUCGAAGACGAGGCCUUCGAGCCCACACUGCCCAGGUUCACUCAGGGCGGCCAGCUGGACCGCCCCCCUCGAGGACGGGAUAGGACGACUGGAAAAGCUGGUGAACAACCCGAACACCUUCGCAGAAGAAGGAAAGAGCCAACACAUCCCGAAGACCCAUCUGACCUGCGACACAACUUGAAUGCCAAGGCAGGACAAAUAAGAUCCAUUUAUGGGUCCACAGGGCUCACCCCCGCUAGAUGGGACGGAUACCGAGCUCGGCUCGAUCAGAAUGUUAGAGUUUGGGAGCUGCCUCGGGUCAGGACUUCAUUCGAUCUCCAACAUGACGUAGCUCAGAUCAGGGGCACCGCUCACCCAAUGUGUUUCAAAGACGAGGUGAUGCAGCACCGGUUCCCUGAAGGGUUCAAACCCAUAGAUAUCGAACAAUACAACAGGACAAUAGACCCGUCCGUGUGGAUCGAAGACUUUCUUCUCCACAUUCAUAUGGCCCGAGGCGAUGACCUCCAUGCCAUCAAAUAUUUACCAUUGAAGCUCAAGGGACCAACACAACAUUGGAUGAAUAGCCUCCCUGGAAACUCCAUUGGGAGUUGGGAAGAGCUCGAAGACGCUUUCCCAGCUAAUUUUCGAGGCACAUAUGUCCGACCGCCGGGUUUUGAUGACUUGAGUCACAUAGUCCAACAAGCCGGAGAGUCAUCCGGGCAAUUUUGGAAUCGAUUCCUGACAAAUAAAAACCAAAUUGUCGACUAUUCAGAUGCCGAGGCACUAGUUCCCUUCAGAAACAAUAUUCGAGAUGAAUGGCUAGCCAGGACGCUUGGGCAGGAUAGGCCAAGAAUAAUGGCAGCACUUACCUCGCUUAUGACCAACUUUUGUGCGGCAAGGAUAGCUGACUAGCCUGUCGGAACAACCCUCCCUGAAACUCACGCACGUCCAAACUCCGAGACGGCAAUGGCAAGCCACGGUGCAACAAGAACAAGCGUCGACACAACGACGAUGAAACCAAUGACACGUCAGUCAAUGCCAGAUUCAGCAACUCCAGGUCUGGACCGCGAAAGAAACCCUUUAAGGGGAAUCGUGAUGGACCGACCGCACUAGACAAAAUACUGGACAAGCCUUGCCAGAUCCACAACACCUCAAAUAAGCCUGUUACUCACACCAAUCGUAACUGUUGGGUGAUUAAACAGGUGAGCAAAAACACAGCGGAAGACCAGGGCAAGAGUUCCCGCAACGAGGACGAUGAGGGACCUCGCAAUCCGAAAAAUGGAGGCCAAAAGCAAUUCCCUCCUGAGGUCAAAAUUGUGAACAUGAUCUACGUCACACACAUACCAAAUAAGGAGAGGAAGCGCGCGCUUCGGGAUGUCUAUGCCAUAGAGCCAGUAGCUUCGAAGUAUAACUCAUGGUCGGCGUGCCCGAUCACCUUUGACCACACGAAUCACCCAACCAGUAUUCGACACGAGGGUUCGGCGACCCUGGUACUUGACCCCAUUAUCGAUGGGUACCACCUCACUAGAGUCCUUUAUGAACGGAGGCAACAGCCUCAAUCUGACUUACGCACACACAAUGAGGAAAAUGGGUAUUGAUCCGUUAAGGAUCAAACCCAACAACACCACCUUUAAAGGAAUAAUUUCUGCUGUCGAGGCCCGCUGCUUGUCGUGGGAAUGAUCCUGACAAUAGUACCAGGGGUACGAACUAAGGGGCAAAGUCUAGCUAGGCGAAGUGGAUGCACUCGGAUUUACGAGUUCAGGGCCCACUCGGAGGUGGUAAUAGCUCUACGUCUCGAGCCCGGAGGCUGGUGUUUUCUUAUAGGGGGUGUAAAAGAUUACAAGUGCUGAACCUUGAGCCGGUGCCCGGGAGUGGCUUAUAUAGUGACUGCCACGACCGAUCGAGCACCAUUACAAGGCAAUAAAUGAUAAUAAAGAGGGAAGUUACAGGCAACGAUGGCCUUAAUCCCUAGAGUUACUGGUAACACGGGUAUUCAUGGGCCUUCAUGCAUGUGUUUAAGUCCUUGGCCGUUGCAGUCCCUUCAUCGUCCCUGCCUUGAUGUGGAUCGAGUGCUGGGAGCAUCCGAUUGCCGCAAAGCAGACUGAGUGACCUCUCGUGACCGAGUGAGGGCGCAAUGACCGAAUGAGGUUGAGGCUAUCAUGAUGACUUGUAGGACACUGAUGUCCUUACGGGUACUUAGGCGGGCCCUACGGAAAACGGGUCCAUGGGCCUACCCCUUAAGUAUAAUCCCGUCAGUAGCCCCCGAAUCGGUAGAGGUUUUCUGGCCGAGUGAAUGAUUCCCUUGGUGUUUCGGAGACACACAUGUCGCCGUCAGAGGAAGCGUCAUUCGGACUCUUAAAUAGCCACUACAGAUUCAAUAGCAAGAAAUCCCGAAUGUCCGAGCGUACCGGUAAGUUCACAUUCGGUAAGAUCAAGUACCUCUCAGGGAGAUUUGUUUGAUGAUUCGGAUGAUCAUGAGCCCAGAGCUCCAUGUAUCUAGUCGGUGAGCUGGAACGGAUCCACUCGUACCGGGGUAGAGGCGACCUGAUCGCCUUUUUGUGUUGCCCGAAUGAUCGGGGUCCUGCGGAGGGACAGGUGAGAAGAGUGCUCGGUCAAUAUCGUCACACGCCGUGGACACAGAGUCCAUUUGGGUCGCGAGGGGGAGCUGUUUCCUCCGCAGAUUUUGAAUUGGAUGCGCGCGCAGGGGCGGCGAAAUUGGAGGCGACAUGGUUAGUGGAGGUAGUGGCGCGACACCCCGAUUUCCGCGCCUGCAUUGUCGCGUCGUGCUACAGUGCGCGCUGUCACCGGGAUCCUGUGGAUCUUCCUCGGGACGGCAACACACUUGAUGGGGCAUCUUCUUUAAUGGUAUUUAAGGCCUUCAGAUGAGAGGGGGAAGGUACCGUGCCUCAGAUCUAGACUCUUACCCCCCGUUUCCAAUCCUCCCAAUUGAAACCACCCACUGCGCUCCGACGCUGGCGUCUGCUCGUCCCCCUUCUUCCACCGAGCGCCAUGGUGAAAGGGGCGACGACGAAGGCCGAGCGAGCCAAGAGGGGAUCACGUAGAUCUUCUUCGAGCACCAGGGCGCUCCCGCCGGACUGGAUCCAGGGCGAUUGGUUGCCGUCCUGGGUCACGGUCGGGCGUCUGCAGGAGCUGGAGGGCGAGGGUCUCAUUGCUCCGAGGAGCUGGCGGCUGCCCGACGCCAACGAGUUUGAGCCAGCACCGAGAGAUGAUGAGCGAGUAUUGCUUGUCAGUCACGUCGAGAGAGGUUUGUCCCUGCCUCCAUAUCCUUUCAUUCAAGCUUUCUUAGCCUUCUUCGGUGCAUAGUUGCAUCAUCUUCCUCCCAAUGUUGUCUCCUACUUAGCCGCUCUUGUUUCUCUGUGUGAGAACUUCCUCCGUUGCCAUCCACACUAGGGUUUGUUCAAACACCUGUUUACUUGUCGAGUGAUGACUGUUAAGAAGUCCCCUCAGUCGGGGGGCAGAAGCAAUGUAGUGCAGCUCUGCGGAGGUCUAGGUAUCUAGCUCAGGGGCAAGAGUAGCUUCCCCCAAAUGAACUUCCUUGAUUUUGUGAAGGGGUGGCAGGACUCUUGGUUCUACAGCCAGGAUGUUUUUGUUGGAGAGGGUCAUUCGGGCCUCCCACCAUAUUCCACUGAUAGGGUUCAGUCGGCUCCUGCCUUGACCGUGUCGAAGGUGGAGAAAGUUGAUGUCGAUAUUCUGGUGAUUGCGUUGGUUGCUGUGAUGCGCAAAGGCAUCAACGGAAUGGACCUCCUGGAAGUCUUCUUUCAUCGUAGGAUACAACCCCUUCAGGCCAGAGCCCAUCCCAUGUGGAUGUACAAGGAGCCGGAUGACCGAACUCGUGUUCACCCGGAGGAGCUUACGGAGAAGCAGCUGUAAGAUAAGAUCAUGGCCAUCACUCCGUUGAGGGACAACCCAGGGGGACUAGGACGGUGCCUCCUUUCUCAGUGGAUAUUCCGCCGAAUGAGGUAAGCUACUGCCCUUUACGUCUGAGUGAUUUUCCUCAUUGUCCCGAUACUUGUUUGUAACGCGAUCUUCCCCACUCGGUAGGCUUUUACCGGGCUAGUUAGCUCCGUCCCGGUGGUUGACUGAAUGCCCGUUGAUGUGGAGAGCGACACCGAACGCCUGGAGGGCUCGGAUGCAGGUGACGAUGAAGAUAUCGAUGAUGAAGACGACAACGAGGAGGUGGAGGAGAGUGACGACGAUGAUCAGGGGGAUCAGGCGAAGUCCUCUCCGUUUGAUGAGGUCCCACCCGAGGCCCGCAGCAAGGUGCGCCAGGAUCCGAGGACCCGUGCUGGCACCUUGAGGAUCCCGAGGGUGACAAAGCCAAGUGUAUCGACAAUGCCGACCCGCAGUUCCAAACAGGGUCGAAGUGAGGCCACGAAGCCGCCGGAGAAGACUGCCAAACAACCCAAGGUCGCGAGCUCCAAACCUCGGAAGGCUGUCCUGCCACGCAUCAAGGUUGAUGUGCCCAUCGCUUCGGCGGCCGAUACUUCGACCGCUUCUCUGGAAGCCCAGGCCACUAACAAGGGGAAGACUGCCGCUGAUGCUGCUUCUUCCAAAGGACUACGGGACGUGAUCGAACUUGACCCUGAGGCUUCUUUUGCAAUUGAAUAGGCUCCCAAGCAGGCCGCCACUUUGAGCCGAGUGGUUGCCAUAACCAAGACUUUUGAGGCCCACGAGACCACCUCGGUCGGGACGUCACUCGGAAUGGGUCUGUUGCCUCCUCCAACGGAUCGCCGCAUGUUCCAGCUCCACCACAUUCGAGAGGAUGAGGAGGAGGCGUGCAAGGAAGCCUUGGCUUAGCUGGACCUGAUGGUCGGACGAUUGAAGGAGGCGUAUGACGCCAGCGAGGCCAUGGCCAAAAAUGUUCGGACUCCUUGUGGGCCCAUGGACCGUACCGGAGCGGCUGAUCAAGUGUUGUUGGAUUUGCGCCUCAACCCGGAAGCUAAAAAAGCCAAGUGCACUCGCCUUGAGCAGGAGAAGAAAGUCGUUGAAGAUCGCCUUGCUGAGAGGCUGAAGAAUUCCAUUUCUUUAGUCGCCAUGAAGGAGGCCCUCGAGAAGAGGGAUGUAGAACUGGUGUCAGCUCAGAAGGAAGCCAACCAAAAGACCAGGGCAGCCGAGGCCAAGUUGAAGGCCGUUGAGAAGCUCGAGGAGGAGAACUGACUGUUGAAGGUGGUCGCUGAAGAGACUGCACGAGAGAUUGCCGACCCGAAGAAGAGCUACGCCGAGUGGGAGACCAAGUUCUUGGAGGUCAGUGUCAAACGAGCGGAGCUCGAGAAGUUCGUUGAGGACUUCGGCUUAGACCUUGUCGGCAAGCUCAAAGGUAUGGCUGAAUCCCGAAUGAUUUCUAUUGUUGUCUUGUCAUUUUCGAGUGAUGAUCUUCAUCCUUUGUCUUUGAUUGAAUCCAUCUUUCUGUGUGGAUCUCGAGGAGGAGACGACUUCGAUUGAGAAGGAACUGAACCCGAAGACUGGGCUUAUGAAGGACAGUACUGCCAUCACUCUCCUCCGACUAGAAGCUCGCAUCGAUUACGCGCUGGGCUACUUCAGAUGGAUCCAUUCGGCUAUGGCGGAGGUUGAUGAGGGGACCGGCCCUAAAGAAGAACCCAUGAAGGAUGCUCACACGAUUUUUGAUCGAGCGAAAGCUAUUCCCGGGCACCUUCAGUCUUGGAAGAAGUCGGCGGCUCGUGCUGGAGCGGACAUCGGCCUCUCGCUCGUCCGAAUCCACUGCAGGGGGUGGAUGAGGAGAAGCUGAAGAACCUUCGAGUGGUCAUCAAGAAGAGCAUCAAGUUUGAGGACGUCAUCGAGAUGUUCAGGGAGGCGGCCACCCGGAUCGCCGACGACAUCGAUCUUGAUACCUUCGUGGAGGCAGUGGGGUCUCCGUCCUUUGAGUGAACCUCGGAAAAAACUCUUAAGUUUCAAUUCGCCUCGGCAUGCCGAGUGGUUUUAUGUAACCCUUUAAACUCUGAGUAAGCCUUGGGCUUUCUCGCAUGCACCUUUUAUUUAAAUUGAAGUGCGACUUUGUUCGCUUUGAAUUGCA